GUCCCCAUCGUCUAGAGGCCUAGGACAUCGCCCUUUCACGGCGGUAACAGGGGUUCGACUCCCCUUGGGGACG
rfam:Rickettsiella grylli gcontig_637, whole genome shotgun sequence.